rnacentral:rRNA from 1 species
GACGAACGCUGGCGGCGUGCCUAAUACAUGCAAGUCGAGCGGAUCUUCAUUAGCUUGCUUUUGAAGAUCAGCGGCGGACGGGUGAGUAACACGUGGGCAACCUGCCUGUAAGACUGGGAUAACUUCGGGAAACCGGAGCUAAUACCGGAUAAUCCUUUUCCUCUCAUGGGGAAAAGCUGAAAGACGGUUUCGGCUGUCCCUUACAGAUGGGCCCGCGGCGCAUUAGCUAGUUGGUGAGGUAACGGCCCACCAAGGCGACGAUGCGUAGCCGACCUGAGAGGGUGAUCGGCCACACUGGGACUGAGACACGGCCCAGACUCCUACGGGAGGCAGCAGUAGGGAAUCUUCCGCAAUGGACGAAAGUCUGACGGAGCAACGCCGCGUGAGCGAUGAAGGCCUUCGGGUCGUAAAGCUCUGUUGUCAGGGAAGAACAAGUACCGGAGUAACUGCCGGUACCUUGACGGUACCUGACCAGAAAGCCACGGCUAACUACGUGCCAGCAGCCGCCGCCGUAA